rnacentral:rRNA from 1 species
UACGGAGGGGGCUAGCGUUGUUCGGAAUUACUGGGCGUAAAGCGCACGUAGGCGGCUUUGUAAGUUAGAGGUGAAAGCCCGGGGCUCAACUCCGGAACUGCCUUUAAGACUGCAUCGCUUGAAUCCAGGAGAGGUGAGUGGAAUUCCGAGUGUAGAGGUGAAAUUCGUAGAUAUUCGGAGGAACACCAGAAGCGAAGGCGGCUCACUGGCCCGAGACUGACGCUGAGGCGCGAAAGCGUGGGGAGCAAACAGG